AGUUAAACUCUCAGUCAGCCUUUCCUUCCUCCAAAUAACCCUGACCUCAGUUUUGAGUGUGUGCACUUUUACAAAUUUUGGUUUUCCUAUGCAUGAAAACAAAGCUCUGUCACUAAUUACUAUUCAUUUGUUUAUAUUCAUUUCCUUAAAAUAUGAGCAAAGGGGAUUAUUAUAGAAACUAUUCAGUAUCUUUUUGUUUCAUAUCUUUGGCAUGUUUUUAAUCAACAAAUUUAAUGUGCUUUCUUUUCUUUAAUGAUAUCCAUAAUAGUAUAGUGUGUGUGUGUAAUCAUUUAUUCAACUUUCUUGUGUACAUUUCUAUUUUGAGGAUUGGGAAGAUGUCUGUGUUUCUGAGUAUAAAAAGCACUUUUCUAUCCCUCACCUUGGCAUAACAGUAGGAUGGAUUGAAUCCAAUAGAUUGUGCUUCUCUUAAAGACAAACUCAUUGGUAGUGAAUGAUUAUGUUCCUCACAUUGAUAUCAUACCACCUGCAAUGGGCUGGGCUCUCCCUCCAUCAAUCAAUAAUUAAGAUUAUGCUCUAUAACUGUUUUUUUUAUGGAGGCAUUUUGUUUUGGCUUUUUGUUGUUGUUGUUGUUUAUAUUUUUCCAUUUUUAUUGUUUAAAGCUUUUAAUUACUUCAUAAUCAGAGAUAUAUUUUGUUUAUACACAUAGUGAAAGCAAUGGGGAUGUCAACAUAGUUAAUCUUCUGUGCCUGCACCUCAAAAUUUCCAACUUAAAACACUAAAAAACGAAAAUAUCUCACAGCUCUGAUUUUCUACUGUUCUGUUUUGUUUUGUCUUGCCUUGCUUUUUUGUAAUAGGGAUUAACAUAUUUUCUGUAAGAAAGAAUAUUUAUUUAGAAUAGAUUUGAACAGUGAUCUUGCCCAAUUUCUGAGUCUGAAAGAAAACACCAUGCAGUGGAUGCAUUGUAAAAUGGGUCCAUGUGGCUGAGUCUUCUGUACAUUUUAGAAAAAUGGUGGGUGCUCAGUUCUAGAGGCUGCAAAAUGCCAGGCAACAUAACACAGUAAGAAGUGUGUGCAGAAGGGGGCCACACAGACAUCUAGAAAACAAGUGAUAGAGAUAAGCCAGAUGUCCUUUUUGCUAUUUUUUUUUUAUAACAAAAUGUCCUUUGGAAUCAUCACUUCCACCCAUACCUGACCUACUUCAGAGAUACAGCAUGGAUCCAUUUAAUGGUUUGGUCCUCCUGACAUGGUAAUUCCAACUAGGUUCCACUUGCAAAGAUUCCACUGUGUUUAUACUUUAACUCUGAAUUAUCAACCUACCAGCAAUAGACCCUGGAAUACAAGUCACAUUCAAGUAGUACCAUAUGCAUUUCCUGCUAUCAAUAUGCCAGACUUUUUUCUGGGAAUAUCAGUAUAGAAAUUUCUGAAGGAACAAAUUUUUAUAUCAAUUUUUCUAUAUAAUGAAUAUUAUGUUCCCAAGGUAUUAUUCCAGUUUAUUCUCAUGUAGUGUGAAUAUGGACUUGCAGAUGUUUUCAUAUCGUUUCUUGAUAGAGACUUGGUUUUUUUUUUCUAUUGAAAUUUUAUGUGUCCUUGGUUGUUUUAAAACAUCUUUGCUAUUCAUGCUUUAUCAUUUUUAUGUUCUGAAGCUAUCAUAUGCCAAAUAUAUACACAUUUUGCUCUUAAGUCACGUAUAGGGGAAAAUGUCUUUAAAGUGGCAUUGUUUACUAUUGUAAUCAAUACUUUGACUCAUUUUGUAAUUCUAUAGAUAGCAGCUUUCAAAGUAUUCAGUAAGAAAAUAUGGUUACAACGACUGUUUUGAGGAAAAUACAGCCUGGUGAUUUGUUGUCCAGCUUAAAAUCUAAAGAGAGCUUCAGUCUUCACACUAAGGAUAAAGAUGUGGAGAAAUAGGGUAUUGGUAGGUGAUAGGCUCAGAACUAAGAAACCACAUUACUUGUGAGAGCUUUGCAACAUUUGACAUCUGAUUUGACAAGCAUCCAAGUUCAUGGUUGAAGUAGGCACAGUUCAGUUAUAAGAAAGGUCAUACAAAAAAUACACUCGUGGUAUAUUUAUAUAUUUAUAAUGAGCAGGAUGGAAAAGGGAAAAUUAAAAUUUCAUCUGGACUAAAAGAAAUAAAAAUAAUUAUAUUUGUUAACGGUGAGUAUGAUUAUGAAUUGUAUUACUUUAGGAUCAGUAUUAAAGCCGCAAGAUGUUAUUAAGAUGUUAUUUAGACAGUAUUUAGACAGUGGGCAACAUGAUGGUUGACAUUUACAACACUGACUUCAUUACUAAGAUUAUUUGAAUAACCCCCCCCCUCCCCACUGCCUUUCUCUCAGCUUACUUGGUAUCUUGAUAUUAGGGAAUUGAACAAUAAAAUAAAAUAAAGU
rnacentral:lncRNA from 1 species